rnacentral:piRNA from 1 species
UGGGAAAGGUGCACUUUCCGCCCUGCUAAU